rnacentral:rRNA from 1 species
GAUGAACGCUAGCGACAGGCUUAACACAUGCAAGUCGAGGGGCAGCAUGAUUUGUAGCAAUACAGAUUGAUGGCGACCGGCGCACGGGUGAGUAACGCGUAUGCAACUUACCUAUCAGAGGGGGAUAGCCCGGCGAAAGUCGGAUUAAUACCCCAUAAAACAGGGGUCCCGCAUGGGAAUAUUUGUUAAAGAUUCAUCGCUGAUAGAUAGGCAUGCGUUCCAUUAGGCAGUUGGCGGGGUAACGGCCCACCAAACCGACGAUGGAUAGGGGUUCUGAGAGGAAGGUCCCCCACAUUGGUACUGAGACACGGACCAAACUCCUACGGGAGGCAGCAGUGAGGAAUAUGGUCAAUGGCCGAGAGGCUGAACCAGCCAAGUCGCGUGAAGGAAGAAGGAUCUAUGGUUUGUAAACUUCUUUUAUAGGGGAAUAAAGUGGAGGACGUGUCCUUUUUUGUAUGUACCCUAUGAAUAAGCAUCGGCUAACUCCGUGCCAGCAGCC